CCCGCACAAGCGGUGAGCAUGUGGUUUAAUUCGAAGCAACGCGAAGAACCUUACCAGGUCUUGACAUCCCGAUGCUAUUUCUAGAGAUAGAAAGUUACUUCGGUACAUCGGUGACAGGUGGUGCAUGGUUGUCGUCAGCUCGUGUCGUGAGAUGUUGGGUUAAGUCCCGCAACGAGCGCAACCCCUAUUGUUAGUUGCCAUCAUUCAGUUAGGCACUCUAGCGAGACUGCCGGUAAUAAACCGGAGGAAGGUGGGAUGACGUCAAAUCAUCAUGCCCCUUAUGUUCUGGGCUACACACGUGCUACAAUGGCCGGUACAGACGGACGCAAAGCCGCGAGGUGGAGCAAAUCCUAAAAAGCCGGUCUCAGUUCGGAUUGCAGGCUGCAAUUCGCCUGCAUGAAGUCGGAAUCGCUAGUAAUCGCAGGUCAGCAUACUGCGGUGAAUACGUUCCCGGGCCUU
rnacentral:rRNA from 1 species